GGACGAACGCUGGCGGCGUGCCUAAUACAUGCAAGUCGAGCGGACGAAUCGAAAGCUUGCUUUUGAUUCGUUAGCGGCGGACGGGUGAGUAACACGUGGGCAACCUGCCCUGUAGACGGGGAUAACACCGAGAAAUCGGUGCUAAUACCGGAUAACACGAAAUGUCGCAUGACGUUUCGUUGAAAGACGGCGCAAGCUGUCGCUACAGGAUGGGCCCGCGGCGCAUUAGCUAGUUGGUGAGGUAACGGCUCACCAAGGCGACGAUGCGUAGCCGACCUGAGAGGGUGAUCGGCCACACUGGGACUGAGACACGGCCCAGACUCCUACGGGAGGCAGCAGUAAGGAAUCUUCCGCAAUGGACGAAAGUCUGACGGAGCAACGCCGCGUGAGCGAAGAAGGCCUUCGGGUCGUAAAGCUCUGUUGUUAGGGAAGAACAAGUAACGCAGUAACUGGCGUUACCGUGACGGUACCUAACGAGAAAGCCACGGCUAACUACGUG
rnacentral:rRNA from 1 species